CGUUCCCCUCGGGGCAUGCUGGGAGGGCGGCCCCGCCCGCCGCCCCCCGCCCGGCCGCGCCCGGGGGGACGCGCGAGCGCCGUGACACCGUCCCAACAGGAAAGAACAAUCCUAAGGAAAGGAAACAGUCUCCCUUUGACGUAAGAUAAUCUUGGAAGCCUUCUGGAUUCACCUUGCUGUUACGUACUCAGCAGAAGAGAGUAUGUUGAAGAUGGGAAAGUAUCAUUUGGUGAAUUUGGUGUAUCCAGGUCACUGAUGUUGUUGCAGCUGAGUUGGCUGUCUUGGGAAUGGAGUAAUGCCAUUUGAAACAGCAGCUGCUCCUGUCUGAGCCUCCAACCUUGUAAAUAUGAAUUGUGCCUGUGGCAGAAAAAUUAAUGGCUAACAUAAAAGAGAAAUAGAAAGCAGGUGGCCUCUUGAAAAAGCAGCCAGAGCUCCAGGACCACAUUUGUACUACAGAGCACAUCAUCAGCCAUGCAUUUUCUUUACCCAAAGUAUUUUCUGUAACCUUUUUCUGUAACCUUACUCCUUAUUUGACCCACAGUCCUCCCAGAGGCCCAUCCAUCAGCCUGGGAAACUUGAUACUAAAGCAUAAUUAAAAUGAAUGCAUUCAGACCUCAGUAAAAAGACUGAAAAACCCUGCAAUGUUGCACAUAUCUAUUCAUUUAUAUUUACUGUUCAGAUGCUUUUAUUUGUAAAAGCAAUCGAGUCAUGAGCACCCCUAUCCUCAGAAGAAUGUAAUGCCAUCAUGGAAGUCAGCAUGUAGUUGAAGUCUGCAUCUUCCCUUCUAAUUACACCUUGCAAAAUUUCACCUUUAAGGAGCCUGCUUCAAGCUGAUUCUGUGUUUCUGCAUGUUUGAUUUUCACCUGAAAUAGUCCAG